UUUAGGAUAUGCUAAAACGGACCAAAUAUUUGGACCCGAAGCUCAUGAGUUACAGAUACUCCCAAAGAUCCUAAAUGAAGAAUAACUGUCAUGCGCGAGAAUGCCGAGAAUUCCCUUCAAAUACGAUUUUGACGUUGAUGUUAUUUUGUUCCAAACAACAACAAAAUUUACAUUUUCUGUUGUUUCCCAUUUUAAUUGCAGAGUGGGAUGAAACAGAUGAAAUUUGGUAUUAUUAUAUCAACAGCUACAAAAAUAUACAAAACCUUCUGCAGACCAAUUUUUGAAUAUAAACACAUUAUACAGAACUGAACUAAUGCCAAUAAGGGAAAGACUGC